AACUCAGACAAUGUCCACUCCGACCAUAAAGUUUGCUGUUUACAUGUCAGCUAAGAAAAUGGUAGGAGCGCCUUUGUUGGGCUCGUAAGUGUCAAUUGUAAACAAUGACCAGACAAUAAACAAAGAAAGAGUCUCUUUUACAAUCAUAAGUACGUGCCUGAAUGCUUUGUUUUCUCUACUGUGUUGGGUACUUGUUUACAAUUUGGCAUGGCAGGUUGAGCUUGCAAUUUGCAGGGGUUAAAGCAAACCAUGCCUGCGUACAAAGGUGGUAGGCAUAUCAACCUGUGUUGGGAUACGGUGAGGAGCACAGUAGUGGGAAGGAGAAAAAUUCUCAAAGCAAAAUCAUGCCCUGAGUAUGAAAAUUGCUGAGAAAGUUGUUGUUGUUUGAUUUUGGAGAUAUGGUAGACGCAAAUUACGCUUGCUAUUACUAGAAUUAACUAGCCUGUACUUAUUGAAUGAUCAAGAUUACUUUGACACUUUGUGUUUACAACAUGUUUGUUAGCUUUUUUGCUACUAAAUUAAUUUGGCUAAAAACAAAAUGUUCCACUUUGAAAUCUUUUCCCUCGAUACUUAUUUAUUUGUUGAUCACUCUUGUUUACAUCCGUAUUUCCUACAUACACUUUAAUUCCCUUCCCGCAUAAUCUAUGCAAACAAAAAAAAAAUUAUUUAUUCAUUCUAAUCCGCGUUCUGCGGCACCCAUUGUAAUAAAAUCAUAAUCAACAUUAUACCAAAUCAUCAUGGGUAUCUUUUCAAGGCAUGACUAAACUAUUUAGAGUAUCCAUAUACCAUACAUAUUUCCUUAAACAAACAAACAUUUUAUAUGCAAAAUUGACAUAAACUUGAUUUCUUUUUCUCUUGCAAACUUGGAAAUCACCGUCCCAAAAAAAUAAAACACCUACUUGGCUUCAGUGAUGGCCUUGGUAAGCUCAUAGGUCUUGACGGCAUCCAAAAAGUCGGAAUGGAUAAGGUUCUUGUCACCCUUACCUUCAGCAGCAUCCAAGAAGAUCUUGAACUCACUGUAGUAUGGGUCAUCAUUGGGGUAUUUGUAAACCUUUUCUUCGUCCGAAUCAGGAGAGCGAACAUACAAGACGGGCUCUUCAUAAAGAUCAACGAUACGAAGGUAGUAACCAUCAGCCUGAACUUCAAUGCAAGUAUCAUACUUGGCACCUUGAAGAGUAAUGUUGUGAGUAAAAGCACCAACACCACCGUCCUUGUACUUCCAUGAGGCAGCGGUAAAGCGGGGAAUACGCUCCUCUGGAGGAAUUGUCUUCUCAUCAACUGGCAUAGCAUUUAAUUUGCCGCUAGGGUCAUCCCACUCAACACGGUUGACCUUGAUACUAUCAAUCUCAACAUCACCACCAAAGUAGCGAGAGAGAUCACAAAAGUGGGUACCUUGCUCGACGACUGGACCACCAGACUCAGACAUGAUCCACCAGAACUUCUUCGAGUUGUGAAUGUAGGCAGAGUUGUACUUGGCUACAGUACUGACAACCUUCAAGUUCUUUUCCUUGAUUAUCUCCUUGGCCUUUUGAACUGUCUUCAAAUAACGAAGCAUGUAGCCGACAGAGAUAACGGAUUCAGAGGGCAAACGACGGGCGACAGCAAAAGCAUCCUCGACGGGAGCGGCAGAAAUUGGUUUUUCGAUGAAAAGAGAGGCAUCAGGGAAUCGCUUGAGGAUGGCCAAUUCCAAAUCGGCUCCCUUUUGGGUAGAGCCAUGGGUCUCAGGAGGAAUGCCAAUAAUGUAGGCAUCGGGCUUCUCCUCGGGGUGGCUGUCUAAGUAUUCGAGGUAUUCAUCGGCAGAAUAAAAUUCACGAGUGUUGGCAUAAGAAGAGGCGUACUCAGUCUCAGCCUUUUGCUUAAGGACACGUUCGUGGGAACUCUUGUGAGGGGACAAGAGAGCAACAACUUGUAAACGAUGACCAAGAACGAGUUCAAGCUUUUGGGAAUUAUUCCAAGGACCCUCAGCAGUACCAAAAUUAAUACCACCGCAUCCAAAGAUAGCGCACUUAAAAGGAGGGCCAGUGGGUUCGGGAGCGGAUUGUGGAAGAUGGGAAGAAAUUUCGUCCUUGACGUUUUGGUAGGUUUUGUAAGCUUCGUCUUUAAUGUUUUGCAUCAUGAUAUAGAAAUUUUAGAAUAGAGAAGUUUUGUUUCGUUGAAGAAAAUGGAGAGUUG